rnacentral:tRNA from 1 species
GGCCCCGUCGUCUAGUGGCCUAGGACGCCGCCCUCUCAAGGCGGUAGCGCGGGUUCAAAUCCCGUCGGGGCUA